rnacentral:rRNA from 1 species
GGAUGCUUGCCGCCGAAAUGGACGUCGACCGGCGCACGGGUGAGUAACGCGUAUCCAACCUUCCCCGUUAUUGCGGGAUAACCUGCCGAAAGGCAGACUAAUACCCGCAUGUUCUUCGAUGACGGCAUCAGGUUCGAAGCAAAGAUCCGUCGGUAACGGAGGGGGAUGCGUCUGAUUAGCUAGUUGGCGGGGCGACGGCCCACCAAGGCGACGAUCAGUAGGGGUUCUGAGAGGAAGGUCCCCCACAUUGGAACUGAGACACGGUCCAAACUCCUACGGGAGGCAGCAGUGAGGAAUAUUGGUCAAUGGGCGGAAGCCUGAACCAGCCAAGUAGCGUGCAGGAGGACGGCCCUACGGGUUGUAAACUGCUUUUAUGCGGGGAUAAAGUGAGGGACGCGUCCCUUUUUGCAGGUACCGCAUGAAUAAGGACCGGCUAAUUCCGUGCCAGCAGCCGCGGUAAUACGGAAGGUCCGGGCGUUAUCCGGAUUUAUUGGGUUUAAAGGGAGCGUAGGCCGGGGAUUAAGUGUGUUGUGAAAUGUAGGCGCCCAACGUCUGACUUGCAGCGCAUACUGGUUCCCUUGAGUACGCGCAACGCCGGCGGAAUUCGUCGUGUAGCGGUGAAAUGCUUAGAUAUGACGAAGAACCCCGAUUGCGAAGGCAGCCGGCGGGAGCGCAACUGACGCUGAAGCUCGAAGGUGCGGGUAUCGAACAGG